AUUGAACGCUGGCGGCAUGCCUUACACAUGCAAGUCGAACGGUAACAGGUCUUCGGAUGCUGACGAGUGGCGAACGGGUGAGUAAUACAUCGGAACGUGCCUAGUAGUGGGGGAUAACUACUCGAAAGAGUGGCUAAUACCGCAUGAGAUCUACGGAUGAAAGCAGGGGAUCGCAAGGCCUUGUGCUACUAGAGCGGCCGAUGGCAGAUUAGGUAGUUGGUGGGAUAAGAGCUAACCAAGCCGACGAUCUGUAGCUGGUCUGAGAGGACGAUCAGCCACACUGGGACUGAGACACGGCCCAGACUCCUACGGGAGGCAGCAGCGGGGAAUUUUGGACAAUGGGCGCAAGCCUGAUCCAGCAAUGCCGCGUGCAGGAUGAAGGCCUUCGGGUUGUAAACUGCUUUUGUACGGAACGAAAAGCCCUGGGUUAAUACCCUGGGGUCAUGACGGUACCGUAAGAAUAAGCACCGGCUAACUACGUGCCAGCCGCCGCAGUAA
rnacentral:rRNA from 1 species